rnacentral:rRNA from 1 species
GACGAACGCUGGCGGCGUGCUUAGCACAUGCAAGUCGAACGGAAAGGCCCUGCUUUUGUGGGGUGCUCGAGUGGCGAACGGGUGAGUAACACGUGAGUAACCUGCCCUUGACUUUGGGAUAACUUCAGGAAACUGGGGCUAAUACCGGAUAGGAGCUCCUGCUGCAUGGUGGGGGUUGGAAGGUUUCGGCGGUUGGGGAUGGACUCGCGGCUUAUCAGCUUGUUGGUGGGGUAGUGGCUUACCAAGGCUUUGACGGGUAGCCGGCCUGAGAGGGUGACCGGCCACAUUGGGACUGAGAUACGGCCCAGACUCCUACGGGAGGCAGCAGUGGGGAAUAUUGCACAAUGGGCGGAAGCCUGAUGCAGCAACGCCGCGUGCGGGAUGACGGCCUUCGGGUUGUAAACCGCUUUCGCCUGUGACGAAGCGUGAGUGACGGUAAUGGGUAAAGAAGCACCGGCUAACUACGUG